rnacentral:rRNA from 1 species
UACGUAGGGUGCAAGCGUUAAUCGGAAUUACUGGGCGUAAAGCGUGCGCAGGCGGUUAUGCAAGACAGAGGUGAAAUCCCCGGGCUCAACCUGGGAACUGCCUUUGUGGCUGCAUAGCUAGAGUACGGUAGAGGGGGAUGGAAUUCCGCGUGUAGCAGUGAAAUGCGUAGAUAUGCGGAGGAACACCGAUGGCGAAGGCAAUCCCCUGGACCUGUACUGACGCUCAUGCACGAAAGCGUGGGGAGCAAACAGG